CGUGGUAUGGCUGGUGCAAGUCUCGGAGGACACCAGCAACACACUUCUCCCCUGCCCUCACUCCUUUAUUGGCCAGAUACCCAGUUAGCAUCUUCCUUCCAAAGAUACUUUGGUCGUAAUAGCAGUCAACCAGGAUGCAGAACAAUCCCACACAAUCAAUGCAGCUGAACCAACCCAAGCCCUUACAAACCAUCAAAACCUGUUACAGAGUCCCGGGGAUGACCUGACAUUAUCCCAGCUAUUCUCGGAAACCUUUCAUACACCUGCCACAUCCAGAAGCAACACGGAGGACAUGGUCUCCCUUCAGCGUCAGCUUUUGGAGGAAGUUAAAAUGCUGAGGCAUACUCCGGAGCAACUCCUGCAGGUGGAGAGGGAAAAGCUGCUCGUCGAGAGGGAGAAGCUUCGCCUUGCCCAAGCC
ensembl:lncRNA